GAUGAACGCUAGCGACAGGCCUAACACAUGCAAGCCGAGGGGCAGCACAUGAGUAGCAAUACGAUGGUGGCGACCGGCGCACGGGUGAGUAUCGCGUAUGCAACCUACCUUCCACAGGGGGAUAGCCUUCCGAAAGGGAGAUUAAUACCGCAUAAAACAGGGGCACCGCAUGGGGAUAUUUGUUAAAGAUUUAUCGGUGGGAGAUGGGCAUGCGUUCCAUUAGCUAGUUGGCGGGGUAAUGGCCCACCAAGGCAUCGAUGGAUAGGGGAACUGAGAGGUGUAUCCCCCACACUGGAACUGAGACACGGUCCAGACUCCUACGGGAGGCAGCAGUGAGGAAUAUUGGUCAAUGGGCGGGAGCCUGAACCAGCCAAGUCGCGUGAAGGAAGACGGUUCUAUGGAUUGUAAACUUCUUUUGCACUGGGGUAAAACGGGGGACGUGUCCCCCCUUGCAAGUACAGUGCGAAUAAGCAUCGGCUAACUCCGUGCCAGCCGCCGCCGUAA
rnacentral:rRNA from 1 species